ACAUACAUGCCUACCUGGGUCCAGUUGUGUCCUGUGACUCCUGCUUUCCUGGGACAGGCAGGCUGCUCCGUGCCUCCUGGCCAUCCUACUGGGUGCUGGACGCUGUAGGCUGCUCCAUGCCUGUUGGCCAUUCCCUUUGGUGCUGGACAGCACUCACAUUGUGAAAUCCACUGGCCCUGUGAAAAACACCUGGAAAUGUUACCAGGAGAGGGGUUAGUUCUCUUUUUGGCAACCCAUGUUAUUGCUUAUGGCUUAAUAUCUGUGCCUCCAAGAUCCCUUCUCUCUGCCUUCAUCGAUGCCAGGAAAGCAGUCACCUUUUGCCUUUCUUUGCUUCUCAGCAAGUGGCAUGUCUCCAUGUCACUUUAAGCAUCAAGCACACGGAGCCCAAUAAGAUGCUGAAAAGUGUCUGCCUACAAGGUUACAAGGUGGUGGAGACAUUCUGAGCCGGGCUGAAGCAGUGCCUACUCAAUAAAACCAGUCAUCGUGCAAAGAAAUGCCACCUGACUCAAAGGCAAAGCCAGAGUGCAGCUUGGAGCAAAGAAGUUUGUGUUGAAGGAGAAACUAACAACGAAAAUGGACUUGUUGACGGAAGAAAAGUAGGAAUGCAGCCUCUGGUGCUGUUUGAGUGAUCCCUCUGCCCCAGGCCUGGCUGCGCGCUGCUGUGUUCUGGAAAGGCGCAUUGUGCCCUCGCUGUGGCAGGU
ensembl:lncRNA novel transcript